GACAGAGGAUGCAAGCGUUAUCCGGAAUCAUUGGGCGUAAAGCGCGUGUAGGCGGCCCGGUAAGUCCGCUGUGAAAGUCGGGGGCUCAACCUCGGAUGCCGGUGGAUACUGUCGGGCUUGAGUGCGGAAGAGGCGAGUGGAAUUCCUGGUGUAGCGGUGAAAUGCGCAGAUAUCAGGAGGAACACCAAUUGCGAAGGCAGCUCGCUGGGACGUUACUG
rnacentral:rRNA from 1 species